GGAGAGUUGCCGGAGCGGUUGAACGGGGCGGUCUCGAAAACCGUUGUGGGUUUAUGCCUACCCAGGGUUCGAAUCCCUGACUCUCCGCCA
rnacentral:tRNA from 1 species